AUGUUCGACGUCGCGCCGGGGAGCCGUCCGAGCAUACGUGCGUCGCCGUAGUUUAGCGAGGAGGCCGGGCGAGAGAGUGUUUUCGUCGUUCUCGACGCCGUGCCGGAAUUGGAGUCGCUGGUUGAGGUGGGUAAUCUCUCAUUCCUCCAUGGAUUUCUUCUCUACUUCAAGCUUCAUUCAAUUCGAGCUUAAGUGCUGAUUCGCAGGAUCUUGUCGUCGACUGUUAGUAUUUCAGCUCGUACGCGACGUAGGAGUAUCGGAUUUCGACGAGAUUUGGUUCGUUGGAACCGGGACUUCGAGACGAAGAUUCUGAGCCCAAGAUCGUGAUUUUUGGAGCAGGUUCCAGCGUCGACGUUUCGUAUUCUGGCCCGUUCUCUGCGUAGGAGCGUCGGAAUUCAGCGAAACCUGGGCCAUUGGAUUCGUGACUUCGAGACGAAGCUUCAGGACCCUUGUUUGCUGAAUUUGAAUAAGGUUAGCAUGGUCGGAUUUAACGCUUUCUUCGCUGCCAGGAGUUGCUUGAGAGAGCCACAGGUGCCGGCUGCUGCAUCUUCCGCCGACCAG